rnacentral:rRNA from 1 species
UUGAUCCUGGCUCAGAACGAAUGCUGGCGGCGCGUUUAAGCAUGCAAGUCGGACGGUAGUACAGAGCUUGCUCUGUAUGAGAGUGGCGAACGGGUGAGUAACACGUAGGUGAUCUACCUUUGGAUUGGGGAUAGCCCAUGGAAACAUGGGGUAAUACCGAAUAAAGCGGUUGAAAUAGAAAUCAACUGUGAAAGGCGCUUAGGCGCCGUCUGAAGAUGAGCCUGCGGCUUAUUAGCUAGUUGGUAGGGUAACGGCCUACCAAGGCGACGAUAAGUAGCCGGCCUGAGAGGGUGGACGGCCACACUGGGACUGAGACACGGCCCAGACUCCUACGGGAGGCAGCAGCUAAGAAUCUUCCGCAAUGGGCGAAAGCCUGACGGAGCGACGCCGCGUGGGUGAAGAAGGCCGAAAGGUUGUAAAGCCCUUUUCUCGCAGAAGAAUAAGGGCAGGAGGGAAUGCCUGUCUGAUGACGUUAGGUGAGGAAUAAGCCCCGGCCAAUUACGUGCCAGCAGCCGCGGUAACACGUAUGGGGCGAGCGUUGUUCGGAAUCAUUGGGCGUAAAGGGCGCGCAGGCGGUUAAAUAAGCCUGGUGUGAAAGGCUACAGCUCAACUGUAGUUUCGCGCUGGGAACUGUUUGACUAGAGUUCUGGAGGGGAAGCUGGAAUUCCUGGUGUAGGGGUGAAAUCUGUAGAUAUCAGGAAGAACACCGGUGGCGAAGGCGAGCUUCUAGCCAAGAACUGACGCUGAGGCGCGAAAGCGUGGGGAGCGAACAGGAUUAGAUACCCUGGUUAGUCCACGCUGUAAACGAUGUGCACUAGGUGUUGGUCCAUAAGGAUCCGGUGCCGAAGCUAACGCGAAUAGUGCACCGCCUGGGGAGUAUGCUCGCAGGGGUGAAA